CUUGGGAGCUAGAAGACUGGCAUAUUUGGCAAAGAAUUGGUUGCUUGAAGGGACACAGAAAGAACAUGAGAAAUUGAUGAAAUUCACUUCUGAAGAAAUAAAACCUCUAAGAUAAAAGAGUUGAUGCAUUCUGUUAUAAGGCCUGGGUAGUAAAGUGUCUUUCAGAAUAUGUAAAACUAAAAAGAGGGCAAUACUUAUACUGAAAAUGAAGUCACCACAAUGUAGAAGGAAGUUCUCUGUAUCGAUUCCUGCUCCUGUUAUUUCAAAGCUGUAGUACCACACUAUGUGGUGUGCUGGACUACUCUUUUCAUAUGUAUGGAAUAUUCUGCCUAUAAAAUUGCCCUGUCUUUGAUAUAGAGCAGCUUCAAAGUGAUAAAUGUUUAUUGGAGAAGAGGCCACAAAUGUUUGGAACUGGGACAUCCAUUUCUUAAAGCAGAUCCUAGUAGGCCUAAGACGCGUACAGAUUGCUCAAACUUUCCUGAGUAGCAGAGCCCUGUUUGGUGAGUGAGCUUGGACCAAAGUAUACCUGUGAUGACUGAGGGAUCACUUUCCUUGUUCAGCUGUUUGUCCUGAAUCAUGAAACCAGGAGGUACAGAAUGGACAGGGUGUCUUCCUCAGGAGUGGUCUCUUGAUAUCGUCUGAUCUCUUUCUCCCCAAACUGGAUUCAGCCUCUCUCCCUAUGCUCCACUAUCUCCUGUGACCACUUACAGUGCUUGAUCCUGGCAUAAGUAUAUGAUUUACUCAGAUGCUGAAACUCUUUCAGUGGACCAUGGUACUGAAAACUGAAACUGACCUUAGGGAGCUAAAGAGAGUGUUCAUCUGUGCAAAUGUGCCUGGAAUCAUUGAAGACAUUUGUGGCAAGCCAGCUCUUUCCCCAUCUUUUCCUUAUUGUUCAAGGAAAAUGUCACAUGCAAAGAAACCACACCAUAUGGGAAAAAGAUCUGCUGCAAAUUCAGGCAUCAUAUUGCAGUAUGGUGCCAUCAUUUGAAGGGAGCCCAGAACUCCAUCACAUAGCAGCUGGCCUAUAAGAACCAGGAGCUACUCCAACAUGCCCAGAUGUUAAACCAGUGGCAUAGAAGGUGGAGAUCAUUUUUAAAAAUGAGUUCACAUCUUAAUCAUCUACAUUUAGACUACCACAAUUAUUGGGCCAACUGUUCAUCCUGGCAACCAGAGUGUGCCAUCCCCCCUCCAACCUCAAUCACUUGGCCACUUAACACUAACUAAACUUCAUAAAGUUAAUCUAACAACAACACUACAAUAUAUGGACACUCAGGACCAUGUAUCUGCCAUCUGAGUAGGAGAAAUGUCAACUGCUCUAUUCUAUCUUCAAACUUUAACCUGUUCUCCUGGAAAGACAUGAUAGAUAAUAUGGUGAUUGUGCCAUAAUGGCCUAGCAGAUCACCUAGGAAUUUUAAGUUAUUACACUAUUUUCCUAAAGAUUCUGAUUGACCUCAUCAAAUAAUAUCAGCUAUUUUAAUUUGUUCAAUAUGGUGAAUCUCUUGCCCAAAGAAAUGACCCCUUAUGGAAAUCCCAAGAUUAUCAUGAUCAUUAUCAGUGAAUUUCAAUCAGAUAUGCCAUUAUCCCAAGGAUAUGACUUUAUCCUGUGAUAUUGGACAUUAUCAGAAAAAUGGUUUGCCUUUUUCCCAGAACUAGUCAUCCUCCUGUAUUCAGCACCACACUUUUUUGAGAUCUUCAAGCUAUAUGGUUUCUUGUAUUGUUUAAUAUUGGAUCAGAGACUUUCAGUUUAUGUAACUUCUUUUUUUGAUUCAAUCUGUCCAAUGCUCUCCAAGUUAAUGCUUAUAUCUCCACUACCAAUAAUCUUUAAUCCGAUAGCAAAUUAUAAAAUUCCAACCAG